CACGUAGGGCGCAAGCGUUGUCCGGAAUUAUUGGGCGUAAAGAGCUCGUAGGCGGUCUGUUGCGUCGGCUGUGAAAACCCGGGGCUCAACCCCGGGCCUGCAGCCGAUACGGGCAGACUAGAGUUCGGCAGGGGGAGACUGGAAUUCCUGGUGUAGCGGUGAAAUGCGCAGAUAUCAGGAGGAACACCGGUGGCGAAGGCGGGUCUCUGGGCCGAUACUGACGCUGAGGAGCGAAAGCGUGGGGAGCAAACAGG
rnacentral:rRNA from 1 species